rnacentral:lncRNA from 1 species
ACGAGUCUACGUCGACGCAGUAUGCAUCGGAGGCAGAAAAUUUAUUCAAGCUCUGAAGUCCCAAACAACUGAAAAUGCUCCAAAACACCAUCACGUGACCCAGUAGCAGACACUACAUCUGCCAAUGAGCAAUGGACAGAACUGAGAAUACCAUAUCAUGAACCGUAGUGAACACUGCUGGCAACAUCCUGUUUUAGGAUCGAUUUCUCUACAUACAAGCCCCACCAGUGCAGUUGGCACACAACAGCAUCCCUCCUGAUCAAGUGAAAAGGAAUCCUAUGACACCGCUUGAUCUUUGUCUGACAUGGAAAUCUGCAAAUCAAAUAAGGUGGAAGAAUAACAUCUGGUUAAAAAAUUUAUGUGGAAAAAUAUCUGCUUUAAAGUGAUGUCAUGAACUGGACGCUGCACUCUUGAUUCCAACACUAAUAUUGUCAAGUUCAUAUUCAGCAAGUUGAAGAUAACUGACACCAUCUUUAAGUAUAAGUUUCACAAAUAUGGUAUUCAGAAGUUUUUUGUUUUCACUACUGAUGUAUAUAUAGUAUAAAAAAAUGGAUUUCUGUAAUAGAAUAAAGUAUUGGAAUACA